rnacentral:rRNA from 1 species
GGGCCGCACGCGCGCUACACUGACGGAGCCAGCGAGUCUACCUUGGCCGAGAGGCCCGGGAAAUCUUGUGAAACUCCGUCGUGCUGGGGAUAGAGCAUUGCAAUUUUUGCUCUUCAACGAGGAAUUCCUAGUAAGCGCAAGUCAUCAGCUUGCGUUGAUUACGUCCC